UACGUAGGGGGCAAGCGUUGCUCGGAAUCACUGGGCGUAAAGGGCGCGUAGGCGGGAUGGCAAGUCGGUCGUGAAAUCCUUCGGCUCAACCGAAGAACGUCGGCCGAUACUGCCGUUCUUGAGGGAUGCAGAGGAGAUUGGAAUUCCCGGUGUAGCGGUGAAAUGUGUAGAGAUCGGGAGGAACACCGGUGGCGAAGGCGGGUCUCUGGGCAUCUCCUGACGCUGAGGCGCGAAAGCGUGGGGAGCAAACGGG
rnacentral:rRNA from 1 species